rnacentral:ncRNA from 1 species
GAUUAAAGAGCUACAUGAGCUGGGUUUAAUACGUCGUGAGACAGUAUGGUUUCUAUCUUCUAGAGGAACUUAAAGUAGAUUAAAGAUAGCCCCUUCGUACGAAAGGAGUUGGGUAUAUUGAUCUCUGGUUUACCUGUUGUUUAUGAUUUAUAUUACAUUGUAAUAUAACUAAAUGCUUAUACUUAAGUAUUAGAUCUCAUAGGCAUGGCAGGAAAGCUACAUCAGUUAAAGAUAAGUGUUGAAAGCAUCUAAACGCGAAGCGAACUUUAUGAUACUUUUAUACGUAGUAGAACACUACGAGAUUAAUUGUUUUAACAAUUUAUAGGCUUUAGUUGUAAGAAUGAAAACAUUUUUAGAUAUAAAGUACUAAUUAUUAUUAAUAUACUAGUUA